GAUGAACGCUGGCGGCGUGCCUAAUACAUGCAAGUCGAGCGAACGGACGAGAAGCUUGCUUCUCUGAUGUUAGCGGCGGACGUGUGAGUAACACGUGGAUAACCUACCUAUAUGACUGGUAUAACUUCGGGAAACCGGAGCUAAUACCGUAUAAUAUUCUGAACCGCAUGGUUCAAUAGUGAAAGACGGUCUUGCUGUCACUUCUAGAUGGAUCGGCGCUGCAUUAGCUAGUUGUUAAUGUAACGGCUUACCAAGGCAACGAUGCAUAGCCGACCUGAGAGGGUGAGCGGCCACGAGGGAACGAAGGGACGCACCGGAACCCAGAGAGGGGCAGGAGUAGGGAAUGAGCCACAAGGGGGGAAAGCCUGACGGAGGAACGACGCGUGAGGGAGGAAGGUCGCGGGAGGGAAAAACGCUGUUAUGAGGGAAAAAGAUAUGGGUAAGGAAGAGUGGAGAGUGAGAGGAUAGCGAAAAAAAAAGCCAGGGAAAAAUAUG
rnacentral:rRNA from 1 species